AUGCCCUGGAAGUCCAAGGUGGGCAAGCAGAGCUUCACAGCCUCUACCACAGCCCCAAAGGUCUUCCCUCUGGCUCCCUGCUGUGGGAAGACAUCUGAAUCCACGGUGGCCCUGGGCUGCCUGGUCUCCAGCUACUUCCCAGAGCCGGUGACCGUGUCCUGGAACUCGGGCGCCCUGACCAGCGGCGUGCACACCUUCCCGUCCAUCCUGCAGUCUUCGGGGCUCUACUCCCUCAGCAGCAUGGUGACCGUGCCUGCCAGCAGCUUGGAGAGCCAGACCUACACCUGCAACGUAGCCCACCCGGCCAGCAGCACCAAGGUGGACAAGAGAGUCGUCGUAAGAGACCCGAAGUCCUGCAGCAAGUCUCCCGAAUGCCCAGUUCCAGGAGGGCCUAGGGUCUUCAUCUUCCCUCCAAAACCCAAGGACACCCUCAUGAUCUCCCGAACUCCCGAGGUCACCUGCGUGGUGGUGGAUGUGAGCCCGGAAAACCCUGAUGUCCAGUUCAACUGGUACGUGGAUGGCAAAGAGGUGCACACGGCCAGGACGAAGCCAAAGGAGGAUCAGUUCAAUGGCACCCAGCGGGUGGUCAGCGUCCUCCCCAUACAGCACCAGGACUGGCUUAGUGGGAAGGAGUUCAAGUGUAAGGUCAACAACGAAGCCCUCCCGGCCCCCAUUGAGAGGAUCAUCAUGAAGGACAAAGGGCCGGCCCGGGAGCCGCAGGUGUACGUCCUGCCCCCACACCAGGAUGAGCUGGCCAAGGGCACAGUCAGCGUGACCUGCCUGGUCAAAGACUUCUACCCACCUGACAUCGAUGUCGAGUGGCAGGGCAACAGGCAGACGGAGCCGGAGGACAAGUACAGCACCACCCCGCCACAGCUGGAUGGCGACAGGUCCUACUUCCUGUACAGCAAGCUCUCAGUGGAGACAAACAGGUGGAAGCAGGGAGUCAAGUUCACGUGUGGGGUGAUGCACGAGGCUCUCCACAAUCACUACACGGAGAAAAUCAUCUCCCAGUCUCCGGAGGUGGUCCUGGAUGAGAGUUGCGCCGAGACCCAGGUCGGGGAGCUGGACGGGCUGUGGACCACCAUCUCCAUCUUCAUCACGCUCUUCCUGCUCAGCGUGUGCUACAGUGCCACCAUCACCCUCUUCAAGGUGAAGUGGAUCUUCUCCUCGGUGGUGGAGCUGAAGCCGACCAUCGUCCCUGACUACAGGAACAUGAUCGGGCAGGGGGCCUAG